rnacentral:lncRNA from 1 species
UUGAAACUAUAAAAAUACUUAUUUUGACCCCUUUUGGACCCCUUGCUCCUAAACUGUUGGGAUAAAAACCUCCAAAAUUGAUCUUCAGUGGUUAUAGUUUAAAAUUUUAUUGAUUUCUAUUUACUUAUACUUAUGUUAUUAUCCGGAAACCAUCUGGUUUUGGAUGACGCUGACGACUUGAUACCUAUAUAUGACUAAAGAACAUAAUAAAAAUUGCGGUUGUAUAAAAAAUUUAUGAGAAUAGUAUAUCAAAGGUCUUUGAGUGAUGUUUUACACUAAAAAUUUGAUAACAAAAAAGCGAGGCAUUCAGCAGUUAUAUUUUUAUAGGUAUUUUCAGAAAGGAACACUAAUGAUUUUAAUUAUGGGGGUAAGGCCAAUAUUGAUUUAAAGGGUAUGUUUCAAUAUCUGUAGUUGAUAUUUUCAGGGAUGAAAACAACGCUAUUUUUUGUCUUUUAGUUUGAAGUAAAAUAUUAAUUAAUGAAGUGUUGUACAAUGUUUUAGUUUUUGAUGUUCAAAUCACCUAUAAGCAAGUUUGUAUUUAUACAUCAUAGCAUUUUUUCUUUUUUGGUGCACAUGCACUCUUUUUCCUUGGUUUUCCAUCAUCAUCGUCUGAUUUUUUGUAUCCAAACAAUAACUGAAAUAGAAAGUCUUUUCGAGUUGUUUGUAAACACACCACUUUUAAUUGGCAGAGAAAACUAGUGUAUCUGUUUGGUUUGGGGUUUUGGCUCUUAAUUAUAACAAUCCUUGAGGGUGUGCUGUAGUAAUUUAAAUCUACGUGUUUCUGUUUCUAGUGCAUCUUCAUCAGGAUGAAAACCACAGGCGAGUACAAAAUGGUGGAGUGAUAAUUUGCAUGUCACAUUGUCAACAAGGGGAGUAAUUAUGAAUAGAAAAUGAGAGUUGGUAUGAAAGUAAACUUUAAAAAGAAUGUUAAAUAAAAUUGGUUGAAUAAUUUUUAAUCAAAUUUUGCAGAGGUACUGCUUCCAAUUGGCUUCCCUCAGAGUUACAUGCCUCUAAUUGGGACCGCUCUGCCAGGGGUACUGCUUCUAAUUAGCUUUUGCAGACAGAGGUAUAUAUGUACUGCUUCCAACUAGCUUCGCAACAAGACAGAGGGUGUGCUCCCAAUUAGCUUCACUAAGAGGUACAUGCUUCCAAUUGGCUUCGCUCAGACAACCAUACUACUUCCAGUGUUGUAAUGGUACGGAUUUGCAAGUCUAUACUACUUCUAUUGUUGAAAUGGUACAUAAUUGCAAUUAAUUGUCGUCCAAAUUUGCAAAAACAUAUUUUAUUUAACAUUCUUAAUCCAGUUUACUGUCAUACCUACUUUCACUCUCUAUUUGUAAUUUCUUCUUAUGGUGACAAAUUGUGAAGAACACAUUAUCACUUGGGAAUUUUGUACUCUUCUGUAGUUUUAAUCCUGAUGAGGGUGCGGUAGGAACCAAAACUUGUCUAUCUUAUUAAAUAAGACAACCUUUCCAUUAGUUGAUUACUGUAUACCCCUACCUCUUAUAUUUAAUUUUUUCGAUAAAAGAAACAAUUGUUCAUCAUUUUAUAAGGACUUUCUUUACAGUUAUCCCAUUUGCAGAGGACAUGGGGCAUUGACCAGCAUAUUAACUGUUCUGCUAAGUUUAAAACAAGGUGUUUGAUGAAUCAAGUUUGAUUUAGGCCUUUUUAAAAACUUGAAGCUGAUUAUUUGAUAACUCUCAUUUAUCAUAUAUGUUUGUCACCAAUGUAUGAGCAAAACAAAAUUAUAUGAAAUAUGAAAAGGCUGAAAUCUAAAGAUUUUAUCAUAGCUGUUAUGUGGUGGUUCUUUUUUUAAGGGAAAGCAGUUUGCUUCUAAGUUUCAAAAUAAUGAACUUUUCAAAACACUAGUUUAUGUUGAUAGAUGAUUAAUAAAGGAAUCAAAAGAGCAAAAAUAAUUUAAAGGUCAAUGUGCUCGUUUCCGAGAUAUAAACAAUUGAAAUUUUUGCGGGUAAAAUAUUCUCUCUUGACUUAUCAUAGCUUUAACAUUGACAAGUUUAAGUUUUAAUGAGACUUUAACAGAUGGCUUAUCAUUAUACAUGUUAAAGAUUUAUAAAUAAAAAAAUGGGGGUCAAUUUUUUUUAAGACAUUCAAAUGAAUAAAACCAGAGAAUUCUGAAAAUCUGACAAAUAUCCCAAAACAUGACAAGCGAACUUCCUUAAUUUCAUACAUAAAAAAAAUGUGCUUUCAGAUUUCAGCUUACUACUUCAAAUUGUAUUGAAAUCCCUCCUUUACAACGAAAUAUUUCCAGUAAAAUUCCUACACUGGCACAAGUUCUUUUUAAUAAGUAAUAAGGGGAGAUAAUCACAAAUUCUGAUAACCAAAUUGAUAUUAUCCCAUUUCACCUUAUAUUAAUAAGGGGCUUGUUAUUUUAUGCAUUACAUAAAAUGAAAUUAAGAUGGUAUUUGGGAGGGGGGUGUGCUUCUAAAAAAUUGUAAUUUUGUCCAUCAAAUUAAAAUUUGUGAAGCAAUUUUGCCAAAAAUAAUUCUUUCAGGAUGGAAAAGUUGCAAUAGCAUACCACACAGUUAGGAAAUGGUCAAAGGCGAUGCAAGACUAAAAAUAAGUUGAGGUCAAUUUAGGCUGUAACACAUAUUUACAUAUAAAAUUGCAUAUAGAAGCUAUAGGAAAGAGAAAUUUGUUUCUUUUUGGUUAUUUCUAUGCUUAAUUGACAUGAUACAAAAAGUUUAAGUGCAAUAAGACUCUUGCAUUGAACUUUUUUUGCAGACAGGGUACUUUAAUGCAAAUUUUAUUUUCAUUUUUCAGUGGAAAUUCCGAAAACUUGCAUGUAAUUUUAUUCUCAACAGGCAUAUAUUUGAACCACUAACUAUCCUACAGAAGAAAAAAAAAGUUUCAUAUGAAAGGAAACGGGUACAUUUAUCUUUGAAAAGUGAUUUUUUUACAGACUUAAAGUUAACUCUUUAAGAUGGAAUUCAACUAACUCAACUUUGAUGUACAUAGCUCCUUAUCAGGGAAUUUGCAGAAUCUACAUUUACUGAUCAGGGAAUUUGCUGAAUCUACAGUUACUGAACUCAUCUCUUAGGCCCAAGAACAGUUAUUUCAAUGUGCAUUUCAUAUACUGUAGACAAUAAACACAAAUAAAAUAAAUUACACUUGUUUUGACUGUUUUUUAAGGUGUAGUGCACUACUUAUGGGACAAAUUAUAUCAAAAUUAUAGAAAAGUCUAUCGGCUUUAACUCAAAAUAUGGACAAUUAUAUGUUAAGGUGGUCUGUAAUUCAAUAAUAUACAAAAUUUUACAUUACAUUAAGUACAUAUAGUACACAAAUUAUUGUUUUACAGAAACUAUAUUAUUUUACAUUCCCUGAAAGUAAGGCGUUUCAUCAAUAUUCUCCUGUUUUUUGGACUUGUCAAAAAUUCAGACAAAGAUGCUUAGAAUAACUCAAUGCAUGAAAAGUUUAAUGGAUGCUUUGUUAAACGUACUGCUCAAAUUACAGAAGAGAAUGUCUAAGUUAUAUUGGUAAACUGUGCACUAAAAAAACUUCUAGUAUGAGGCAUUAAACAGGUGCAUUACCUCCCCUUGACAAUGUAAAACUUAUGAUCAAUUACAACUGAGUCGAGUACCUAUAGCAAGCAAUAGGCUUGAUAUUUAGUCAAAAAAUGUCUGUGACUGGUAGUAAAUAACUUACAUAUUGCUACAUGUAAUCUCUUGAAAUGUAUCAUUACACCAAUUUUGACAAUAAUAUUUUUGAUUUCCAUAUAAAACCAUUGCUACACUAAAAAUAUUUUUGUUAUUUUUAGAUUCUCCAUUCUUAACCAAUGUAAAUGUUAACUUAAUAAGAACCAUUUUAUCUGUUGAGCCACAAGUAAAAAAAAUCCAUAGCAUUUAAUGGUAGAGAGAAAAAGAAAGUUGAGUGAAAAUUCAAAACACAAUACAUUAACCUUAAUUAAAACUUCCACUCUUGUUGAAAAUGGAGAAUCUUUACAUUAAUUAUUUUAGAAUUUAUCAACUACAUUCUUUCUCUUGUUUAUGCAAGAUUUAUAUGAACCGUUCAUAUUGGAAACUGUUCAGUAGAGUUAGAAAGACCCCAAAGGGAAAUAUGGUCACUCUUGGUCUUCUUCAGACUGGCAGUAAAAUCCUUGCAAAAGAAAGGCGUCUGUUUGGUAGUGCAGGCUAUACAAAUUGGCAGUCAUGUCCAGUGCGUCAGAAUGGGGAUUUUAAAUCUGAUGUCUUGUGAAGAGAGAGUGACCAGCUGUCAACAUGUUAAGAACCUUCACAACAUCUCUAAGGAGUAUGGAGAAUUAAUCACACAAUUAUAUCCUUCAGCCACAGUAAUAUUAUCUGAAAAAGAAAUACACUUUUCAAUUUUCUGUCAUAUUUUAAGAAACUGAAAUAGGCAAAAAUAGCAAACUGGGAAUAACAAUUAAAGCAGAGAAACUUUUUCAAAAUAAUAAUUUUUCCCUUCCUAAAACUUGACAGGUCAUUCCAGAAAAUAUUAAAUUGUAAAAAGAUUAUACAAAUCACAUGGGAAUUUACAUGAUCUUAAAUAGAAAAUUUUAUAAAUCUAUAAAAUAGUUCUUUCUUACUUUUAAAAGUCAACUCUAAUAGCCAUUUCCAACAUCAAUCUGUAAGUACAAGCUGGAAUGCUAACCUGAAAAAUAAAAUGCUUAGUCAUUGAAAAUAGUAAAAAAGGAAUCACUGUUGGUAUACUUUGUAUGUACAUUAUAUAUAAAAAUAUAAAAAUAGAUAUACAACAUUUUAAGGGAGUUGGCUUCUCAGUUUCAAAAUAAUUAACUUUUCAAAACACUAGCAUAUAUAUUGAUUAAUAAAGGAAUCAAAAGAGCAAAAAAAUAUAUAGGUCAU